GACUCUGUAGUGAAAUUCAUGGUGAGUUGCAAGCUCAUUGAUGUGCAUUGACCUGCGCCAGGGUCU
rnacentral:tRNA from 1 species